rnacentral:rRNA from 1 species
AUUGAACGCUGGCGGCAGGCUUAACACAUGCAAGUCGAGCGGGGGAAGGUAACUUGCUACCGGACCUAGCGGCGGACGGGUGAGUAAUGCUUAGGAAUCUGCCUAUUAGUGGGGGACAACAUCUCGAAAGGGAUGCUAAUACCGCAUACGUCCUACGGGAGGAAGCAGGGGAUCUUCGGACCUUGCGCUAAUAGAUGAGCCUAAGUCGGAUUAGCUAGUUGGUGGGGUAAAGGCCUACCAAGGCGACGAUCUGUAGCGGGUCUGAGAGGAUGAUCCGCCACACUGGGACUGAGACACGGCCCAGACUCCUACGGGAGGCAGCAGUGGGGAAUAUUGGACAGUGGGGGGAACCCUGAUCCAGCCAUGCCGCAUGUGUGAAGAAGGCCUUAUGGUUGUAAAGCACUUUAAGCGAGGAGGAGGCUACUCUAGUUAAUACCUAGGGAUAGUGGACGUUACUCGCAGAAUAAGCACCGGCUAACUUUGUGCCAGCCGCCGCCGUAA